GCUUACGGCCAUACCACCCUGAGCGCGCCCGAUCUCGUCUGAUCUCGGAAGCUAAGCAGGGUCGGGCCUGGUUAGUACUUGGAUGGGAGACCGCCUGGGGAAUACCCAGGGUGCUGGUAACG
rnacentral:rRNA from 1 species